CCAGACUCCUACGGGAGGCAGCAGUGAGGAAUAUUGGUCAAUGGGCGGAAGCCUGAACCAGCCAAGUCGCGUGAGGGAAGAAGGCCCUGCGGGUCGCAGACCUCUUUGGACGGGGAGCAAGGCCGCCGACGUGUCGGCGGAAGGAGAGUACCCGUAGAACAAGCAUCGGCUAACUCCGUGCCAGCAGCCGCGGUAAUACGGAGGAUGCGAGCGUUAUCCGGAUUUAUUGGGUUUAAAGGGUGCGCAGGCGGCACGGCAAGCCGGCGGUCAAAUCGCGGGGCUCAACCCAUAGCCUGCAUUUGAAACUGUAUUUCUUGAGUGCUGGAGAGGCAAUCGGAAUUCCGUGUGUAGCGGUGAAAUGCGUAGAUAUACGGAGGAACACCAGUGGCGAAGGCGGAUUGCUGGACAGUAACUGACGCUGAGGCGCGAAAGCGUGGGGAGCAAACAGGAUUAGAUACCCGCGUA
rnacentral:rRNA from 1 species